CUUCCAUGUCUGUAGUGCUGCCUCUCCCAAGGAGCCCAACAGCAUCUUGCAGAAGCAGGAAGAGGCAGAGCAGAGGUAAGAAGAAGAGCCCUGAGUGGCAACCACCUAGCACCAAACAUCAGCCCCUGGCACCCUCCCCAAGACCACCACUGCCAACUAAACCCGUGGGGGAGGAUGCAGCAAAGAGCUCAGCUCAGAAAUGCCUGAUGGAUCCAAUUCCUGAGCCACCUGCAUGCCCACAGCAAGAUCAGGGCAGCCUUGCAGGAGACCUUCUCUGCCCUGGAGAUCUUUCAGCCAAAGCACUGGAGGAAGAGGGGACCCAAAGCCUGGAGAGGCAGCAGACAGCCUGACAACAGCAACAAAAGGCAGAGCUCCACAGGAGUAGACUGCACUGACAGAAGAGCUCCACUUCAGUUCACAGAUGAGUCCAGGAGGUCUGGACUGACUUGAAGGCAAGAAGCACCUGCAAGACUCUUCUUCUAACAUCCUAACCCCUCCAAGAGCCUUUGUGCUUCUGUUACUGUCUUUUAAGCACGGAAGCACAGAACUGUUUUGCUUGCAGAAGACCUUUCAGAUCACCAAGCCCAAUUAUUAACCCAUCACUGCCAGGUCACCACUAAACCAUGUCCCUCAGCACCACAUCUACACAGCUUUGAAACCCUUCCAGGGGGAGGU